GGCAGGGCAUGGAAUGCCUGGUAACCUGAUGCCAGAGUGAUACGUUUUAGCUGUUCUAGAGGUAGCCCCUGCUGGAAUAAUAGUGUCCAUCCAGUAUGAGAAAUGACAAAGAAUGAAUAUUUGACGAUUUCAAAAAAGAACAAGUGAAAGCUUUGGGAAGCUGUGAAUGUUGCCAGAGUCCAGCAGGCUUUUCUAGACCUCCAUGAGGAUGCAGGCUGGCACAGGGGCAGUCAGGUAAGAAGAAAUGAGAACAGAGAUCACGGAAACCAGCACGGAAAGAUGUUGCAAGAAGAGAGAUGCCAACGGUGUAUCAUCACUUCAAAGAUCCAGUAGCAGGAAGUCCCUGGAUCUGACCACAUGGAAAAUAUGGUUUCGCUUGACAAGAGCAGUCACCGUAGAAGGAUGGACAGGAGCAUGAUGAGAGUGAAUGUGAGGAGAAUGUGUUGUGAAGAAAGGCAGAAACUCUAGCCAGGGGUCUGCAAAAGGCCAGAUGGUAAGUAUUCCAGACUUGGUGGUCUUUACAGUCUCUGACGAGCUUCUCGGCUUUGCCCCUGGAGGGUGAAAGCAGCCCCAGAUAAUACACAAGCAAGUGUGCACGGCUGUGUUCCAAAAAAACUUCGUCUAUGGACAAUGAAAAUUGAAUGUCACGUAACUUUCACAUGUCACAAAACAUUUUUCUUCUUUUGAUUUUCCCCCAACCAUUGACAAGUGUGAAACCCAUUCUUGGCUCUUAAGCUGUGCAAAGA